UACGUAGGGUGCGAGCGUUGUCCGGAAUUAUUGGGCGUAAAGCGCGUGUAGGCGGCGUGACAAGUCGGGUGUGAAAGCCCUCAGCUCAACUGAGGAAGUGCGCCCGAAACUGUCGUGCUUGAGUGCCGGAGAGGGUGGCGGAAUUCCCCAAGUAGAGGUGAAAUUCGUAGAUAUGGGGAGGAACACCGGUGGCGAAGGCGGCCACCUGGACGGUUACUGACGCUGAGACGCGAAAGCGUGGGGAGCAAACAGG
rnacentral:rRNA from 1 species